GGGAAGGAGGGGAAAAAAAGGUAAUUACAGGAAUUCAAAAUAUUUCAGGGAAUGUUUGGACCUUUAAAUGACUGGAAACAACCACAGGCCGAUCCUCAGGUACCCCCACGUCCAGCACGUCACCAGAAGACGAGCUCUGGUACCAGUAUCUCCCCACGCCGGAGCUUCUUCGGCUGCAGAGCUGCCAGUGGUGCGGGACCCAACCGGGCACCGGAACCGCGGGACCGAACCGGGAACUGGCGCCGCCAGCACCGGGACUGCCGCCCAGGCAGCGGCCCGGCUGGCACUGAUUUCCACACCCUGGUGGGCUUCCAUCAGCUCGACCAGCUGAACUCAAAGAAACCAAAAUGGUGGAGGAACAGCGUGUAUGGGAAAAGAUUUUCACAAAUUAGGACUCACCGAUGUGAGGAAAAUGACCUGGCAAGUGCUGCAGCAUGGAUUAAUUGAUGAAGUAUAACAGAAGUACCUUAGAUAUACCCUAUCGCAGGUCCUGGCUGAGCACUCUCCACCUGAAUUGUCUUGGUUUAUUGAACUCACUAGCCAGGAAAGGAAAGGCAGCUACACUCUGGACAGCAUUCACACCACAAGCUGUUCUGGAUUCAGCUGCCAGCAGCUCUCUCUGCCAUUUUCCAUAUUGUGGACCAAUCCAUGGGUCUCCCUCUACGUGUACUUUAUGGCACUCCAACACUUGCAAUCCAGGCACGGGGCCCUAACGAGUUCCCAUUUAUUAGCCAAACUCAGGGAGCUGCCUGCAGGCUCCUUGUCUUUUCCAUUUCUUAGGUGAAGAGCUGAAAUCACCAUCAUUUCAUCCACUUGUGCAGGUUGACACUAAAGUGGCUGUUUUGGAGAAAACCUCUCAUUGUGCCGAGCCGGAUAAAUCCCUUGACUGAUUUUAAAUCAACUUACAUAAUUCAUACCAGGGUUUUAUUCUAACAGAAAUACAAAAAGAUAUUCAGAGUAGAUUAUAUAAGUUAUGGACAAUCAAGUCUUUAUUUUGCUUCUAAAUUUGUCACAGUGACAGAAUCCCCACAGUGCUGUGUCAGAACUCGUGCCACCAUAUAAAAAGAUCAGACUGACACAGCUUUCAAGAUUAAUUUUACUUACACUUGCAACCCUACUUAAAAAAAAAAAAAAAGUUCUGUAUUUGUUUUAAUUAUACAUUGCUCAUUUUAUCGAAGAAAAAUUAAUGGAUCUACCAAGAAAAUUGUAAUGCAGUAGCAAAGACUUAAUUUUUAAUUUUAAUUUUUUUUAAUGUAGUAGAAAAUGCAGCCGGGUCUUUGGAUAACUUCUCUGUCUGUUUAAAAUACUUAUUGUUAUUAAGCUUGGAGUGGGGAAGCAGCAGAAGCUUAGAAUUAUUUGAAAUAUUUUCCACAGCUUUUUUUAAAAGUUAUCAUGCCUGGUUUCUAUGGGGAAAAUUGUUGUGGAAAAUAUAUACAGCAAGAUUUCAACAGAGCAAUCUAAGCAGCAAAGAACUCUAUAUGGAGAAGGACGACAAAAUCCCAGACCUCAGAGCUCAUCUCUAUAAAAGGUGUAGAAAGCCACAGGCCUUGAACAGGGAUUUACAAACCUUCUGAUCUUUGAGGGACAACGGCGCCAUGGUGGAGUCAGAGGCACCAAAUGCAAUGCUACCAUUUGCCUUGGUACCUCUUGAUCUUUGAAAAAGUUAGAUCCUGCACACAAUACAAAUUUUCAGAUCUCCAGGUUUAUUUGUUCUGUUUGAGAAAGGUUGUUUUAUUAAAAAAACCAAACCAAACAAACCGACCUGGGCAACCGAACAUGUGUGGUUUGCAUUACACUCUUUUGUUUCCUUCCACAAAAUCUGAGAGCUAUUCCUUUAAUAUUAGAGGGCUUUUCAAGGCUGUCAAGAAUAAUGCAAGAUUUCCACAUCCUCUGAGUGUAGAGGAGUUGCAUCAUAAAUAUCACAAAGUAAACCUUUUGUACUAUAAUUUAAAUUCUACCAAACCCAUAGACCCACUUGUAUUAUCCUUAACAAUGAUACUGUGGAUUUUGCAUGUGUGUCUGUGUGUGAGGAACUGGGAAAAGGGGGAUUCUUUUUGUUUUUAAAGAAUCACAGAAUCAUUAAGGCUGGAAAAGACCUUCGAGGUCAUGAAGUCCAUCCUGUGACCAGUCCCCCACCUUGUCACCCAGCCCAGAGCACUGAGUGCCACAUCCAGUUGUUCCGUGGACACCUGCAGGGGUGGGGACUCCCUCCUCUGUGCUAUAUUGAAUUUGAGUGCUCUAGGCUGACACUGGACAGUUCAAGCCAUUCUUUUGCGUUGCACAGAAAAUCUUCAUUAUUUCUAACCCAGCAAACCCACCAGUCAGAUUUUAAACCCUCUGCAACCAAAACAGAACUAAUGUAGGAUCAGGUUCAUUUUCUCCCAUUAAACUCAACAAGGCACCUACAUUGUUUAGUCCCAUUUACAAAUGUUGGCUUUUAGAGAUGUAAUAGUCAGAAAUAAAAAUUUUAGGUGUUUAAUUUCAGACUGAAUGCCUGAAAGGGGCACUAGAUACUAAACACAGAACUCACCUCACCCAGGAUUAAAUGGCAGAUACUUGAUUGCUUGUGUCUCUGCCUGUUACUAGGCUCCCUAUAGAGCAUUUGGAGAGAAAAAUACAUUUUCAGAUGAUUAUUCUUCUCAUCCUAAACCCGGUAUAGAAGAUAGUGGGAACUACUUCCCCACUGGAUAUGACAAUGUCACCCCGUAGAGAAUGACAGUGUCUACAUGGUUAAAGUUUUGAAAACUUUACUUGUAUCUUUUUCUUUUCUUCUUCUUUGAUGUAUGGAAAUAAAUUUUCAGCCUGAUA